ensembl:lncRNA
CCGGAGGAAGCCUGUCGAGAAGGCAAGGAUUUCUUUCAAGGGUUCAUGCUGCAGCUGUCGAAUAGCAGUGAGAAAAUGUUCCCAGGUGAGCUGGUGAAGUUUUGUUAGCAAGCCGUUGAACAAUAUAUGAAUCACAAGUAAGAAUAAAAGUGAACAGGCUCUAUCUCAGGAAAAGCCAGGACUAGAAGGCUUUACACAUUCAGUGCCACUGCUGCAAGACCAGAAGGGUUGGAGACAACAAAAGGCCCUCGAGAGGAGAGCCACCCGCUGACGGCUGUUCGCUGAGAUGCCUGCCUCAGGCGGUACCGCUACGUAUCGCUAUCCGCGUGCGGCUGUGUGACCCCGACACCGCGGGGCGCACUCGGCGGGCAGGACGAGGCCCGCACUGUGAGGAGAAGCCUGGGCGGGCGGAACCUUGGUGCGCGG